rnacentral:rRNA from 1 species
AUUGAACGCUGGCGGCAGGCCUAACACAUGCAAGUCGAACGAGGGGCGGACGGGUGAGUAAUGUCUGGGAAACUGCCCGAUGGCGGGGGAUAACUACUGGAAACGGUAGCUAAUACCGCAUACCAUCGGAUGUGCCCAGAUGGGAUUAGCGAGUAGGUGGGGAAACGUCUCACCGAGGCGACGAACCCGAGCUGGUCUGAGAGGAUGACCAGCCACACUGGAACUGAGACACGUUCCAGACUCCUACGGGAGGCAGCAGUGGGGAAUAUUGCACAAUGGGCGCAAGCCUGAUGCAGCCAUGCCGCGUGUAUGAAGAAGGCCGUCGGGUUGUAAAGUACUUUCAGCGAGGAGGCGUUACUCGCAGAAGAAGCACCGGCUAACUCCGGGCCAGCAGCCGCGGUAAUAC